AAUUUUGUGCCAGGUUUUUUGAACUUUUUUUUAGGUAACGUCAGGCGAACGUUUUUUUGUGGCGUUUCUGUUUAGAAACAUUACUAAACUUAGAUUAUUUUUGAAAAAAAGAAUAGUUAAACUUGAUUAAUACAUAACAUUUAUGUGUGGUUGGUAAUUUUUGUAUUGCUUUUAUUUGUAUUAAAAACUUGGUUGUUGUUCUCACAUUAAAUUAUUGUCAAAGAAAUGCUCAGAUAGUUUGCAAACCUACCCAGAUAGUUUUUUACAUAUAUUUUUUAUCUACCUACCAAAUUUCAUUGAAAAAUAUUAUUGAGCAGAUAGUCUAUAAAAGUGAGCAGUUUUGGUACCUCAUUUCUGUUUUUCUGAUUUCCGUAAGUGGGUGGUAAGAGGGGUACAAACAAGUUGAAUUUUAUUUGUGUGACUUGUUUAUAGUUUCUAAAAUUUUAUUGGUUUCAUUGAAAUUGAAAACAUAAGCGUUGAUUACUAUAAUUCUAGCUAUAGGUUGUGGGUAACCAUUACCACCCUAUUUAACAAACUUCUCAACUUAACCAAAAUUUACGAAUAGCAGCGGAAAGACUUUUUUUUCAAAAGUAGGCUUGGUUGUGGUCUUUAUCUUUAGCUUGUAGGUUAUACUUGGUGCAAAAAGCCUAAUUCAGGUUGGGGGGGGGGGGCACACGCUCCUCCCACAAGUCAAUAAGCACACCACCAAUAAAUGAAUUUCUUGUAGCAAAAAAAAUUUUUAUGUUUUUUAUACUGUAUACUAGUUUCACUUAUUUUAUUAAA